ACAAUUACAUACUAUGUCCGACUCAUAUAUUUCAAGUAUGUAAAAUACAAUAAGCUCUGAAACCUGGCCACGUCACCACCCAAUGCGAAAACUUAGCAUCAUCUGUGUCAACAAGGGCCGCUUAUCUUUCACAUACUUACAUAAAUAUAUUUAUCUACGUAACACCAGGACUGUUGGGAUGCCGGGUGAGGCAAUCUUUAAAAAACCAUGGCAAAUAUUUGCUGAUAACAUAAUUGAAAUAUAUUAAAUACGUGCAUAAAAAGCCUUUUCGAUGACAUUGGGCACGAGCAGUGAAGCAUCAAAAGUGAGAUCGAAACUCCGGCGGUCUAAAGUGCUGAAAAUACAUAACGUAUUUUUUACUAGAAGUAUUAAAUUACGACCAUAUUUUCAGGUUCUUUUACUAGAAACAUUUUAGAAAGGUGUCGUCCACGCGUAUUUAGCUGUGUUGCCGUGACAAGUUUCAGCUGCUAAGAACUUAUCUUUAAAAGUAUAUCUGGAAAAGACUCGCAAAAUAUGGACCCCAUUCUCAUUCUCCUUUAUAUUUACGCAUUUUUCUUCAUCUUUUUCGGAGUUUGGAGCAUGUUCGCUAUUGCUGCUGACAAAAAUGCUGCCGAGACUCGUCAAUGGAGGACUUCUGAGUACAAACUUCACCUCCUGGAACUCAUGGGGGAUGGUUCGGGAGUCUCUCAGCUCAACUUUCUUUCCGUCACAAAAUCAAGAAAAUUUCUUAUCAGAUCGUUUUCUGGGCAAUUGUCGUCCUUCAUGUGGUUGGAAUUGUGACGGUGUACGUCAACCAGGAACAUAUCCGGGAAUUGUUUAAAAACUUAUAAACAAAAUCAACGUAUGUUCUGGAGUUUAGGAGAAAUCGCCAUCUUGUAGAAGCUUACUUAUCUAAAAAAAAAUAAUCUUCAUUCCCAAUAAAGACAGUCCAUAUUCUUGUGCAUUCCCAAAAUUAUCCCACGUUAAACUUUUAUCAUUAUGAAAAUCAAUUAAUCCCAUUCUGUAAUUUUAUGCAUUUAAUGCAUGUUUUUGAAAUAUGCACGCAGACAAAUAAAUCUUCAUAAAAGUAAACCACAAUUCAAAAUUCAUACAAAUUUUUUAACACAUCAUAACUUUCGCUAAUUGUGUGCAAAGAUUUUUAACACCAGCAACACACCCCGUAAAUAAUAAGUAGUUAUAUCAACUCACCCAAGUACUGGACCACCAUUCGCCAUCACCAUGGUAACCGGUCUCUAUCUACUAAUAAAUAUGUAUGUACAGUAAACAAGUUUAACUUGUACGACGCACUUUUCAUUAUUAUUACACAGUCUUGCAAUGUUAAUUCCCAGCUGACAAAUCACCACCACUCGUCACACUCGAGGAUCCUGUUAUUUUCCAAGCCGUAAAAUAUUUAUCCGUCCGAAACCAGCAGUGUUGACAAUUCUUCCGAGCAGGCUACCUGCAAAAUACUCCCAAGAAAUGGACCCAAUUCUCAUUCUGCUUAUCAUCUACGCCUGUUUCUUCCUCAUUUUUGGAAUUUGGAGCUUUUCCGCAAUUAUUGCCGACAAAAACGCUGCCGAGACUCGUCAAUGGAGGACUUCCGAGUGCAAACUUCACUUCCUGGAACUCAUGGGGGGAUGGUUCGGAAGUCUCUCCGCUCAAGUCUGCGUCCACCACAAAACUAGGAAACUUUCUUACCAGAUCGUCUUCUGGACAAUUGUCAUCCUCCAUGCGGCAGGAAUGGUGGCGGUGUACCUCAACCAGAACGAUAUUAGGGAAUUCUUGAAAAAUUGAUGGGAGGAAAAUUUGAUGGGAGGUCAUUGAACUCUGUCCAAAACAAGUCGUCUCAUUAUUCAAUAAUUUACUAAAAAUUUUUAUAUUUCUAAAUAUGAACAAAUACUCCAAUACUUAUUCCACCUCAUAAUGUUUUUCCAUUUUUCAUGAAAAUAAAACAAAAUUACCUCCAGUAA